AAAUGAAGCGGUCUGGAAAGGCCCGCCAAAGACGGUAACAGCCCGGUAGUUGAAAUAGCUUUCCCUCCAGAGUGGAUCCUGAGUACGGCGGAACACGUGAAAUUCCGUCGGAAUCCGGGAGGACCAUCUCCCAAGGCUAAAUACUCCCUAGUGACCGAUAGUGAACCAGUACCGUGAGGGAAAGGUGAAAAGCACCCCGGAAGGGGAGUGAAACAGUUCCUGAAACCGUGUGCCUACAAGUAGUUAGAGCCCGUUAAUGGGUGAUAGCGUGCCUUUUGUAGAAUGAACCGGCGAGUUACGAUUUGUUGCAAGGUUAAGCGGAAAAAGCGGAGCCGUAGCGAAAGCGAGUCUGAAUAGGGCGCAUAAGUAACAGGUCGUAGACCCGAAACCAGGUGAUCUACCCAUGUCCAGGAUGAAGGUAAGGUAAUACUUACUGGAGGUCCGAACCCACGCACGUUGAAAAGUGCGGGGAUGAGGUGUGGGUAGCGGAGAAAUUCCAAUCGAACUUGGAGAUAGCUGGUUCUCUCCGAAAUAGCUUUAGGGCUAGCCUCGAGGUAAAGAGUCAUGGAGGUAGAGCACUGUUUGGACUAGGGGCCCUUCUCGGGUUACCGAAUUCAGAUAAACUCCGAAUGCCAUGUACUUAUACUCGGGAGUCAGACUGCGAGUGAUAAGAUCCGUAGUCGAAAGGGAAACAGCCCAGACCACCAGUUAAGGUCCCCAAAUAUAUGUUAAGUGGAAAAGGAUGUGGGGUUGCUUAGACAACCAGGAUGUUGGCUUAGAAGCAGCCACCAUUGAAAGAGUGCGUAAUAGCUCACUGGUCGAGUGACCCCGCGCCGAAAAUGUACCGGGGCUAAACAUAUUACCGAAACUGUGGAUGAACCUCUUUAGAGGUUCGUGGUAGGAGAGCGUUCUAAGGGCGGUGAAGUCAGACCGGAAGGACUGGUGGAGCGCUUAGAAGUGAGAAUGCCGGUAUGAGUAGCGAAAGAAGGGUGAGAAUCCCUUCCACCGAAUAUCUAAGGUUUCCUGAGGAAGGCUCGUCCGCUCAGGGUUAGUCGGGACCUAAGCCGAGGCCGAUAGGCGUAGGCGAUGGACAACAGGUAGAGAUUCCUGUACCAGUGCUAAUUGUUUAACCGAUGGGGUGACACAGAAGGAUAGGGAAUCGCACGAAUGGAAAUGUGCGUCCAAGCAGUGAGUGUGAGAAGUAGGCAAAUCCGCUUCUCGCGAAGCAUGAGCUGUGAUGGGGAAGGAAAUUAAGUACGGAAGUUCCUGAUUUCACGCUGUCAAGAAAAGCCUCUAGGAAGAGUAGUACUGCCCGUACCGCAAACCGACACAGGUAGAUGAGGAGAGAAUCCUAAGGUGAGCGAGAGAACUCUCGUUAAGGAACUCGGCAAAAUGACCCCGUAACUUCGGGAGAAGGGGUGCUCUAUUAGGGUGCAAGCCC
rnacentral:rRNA from 1 species